rnacentral:rRNA from 1 species
GAUGAACGCUGGCGGCGUGCCUAAUACAUGCAAGUCGAGCGAACAGAUAAGGAGCUUGCUCCUUUGACGUUAGCGGCGGACGGGUGAGUAACACGUGGGUAACCUACCUAUAAGACUGGGAUAACUUCGGGAAACCGGAGCUAAUACCGGAUAACAUUUGGAACCGCAUGGUUCUAAAGUGAAAGAUGGUUUUGCUAUCACUUAUAGAUGGACCCGGGCCGUAUUAGCUAGUUGGUAAGGUAACGGCUUACCAAGGCGACGAUACGUAGCCGACCUGAGAGGGUGAUCGGCCACACGGGAACGUAGACACGGUCCAGACUACUACGGUAGGCAGCAGUAGGGAAUCGUCGGCAAUGGGCGAAAGCCUGACGCAGCAACGCCGCGUGAGUGACGAAGGGGUUCGGUGCGUAAAGCCCUGUUAUUAGUGAAGAACAGCUGUGUAAGUAGCUGUGGACGGCUUGACGGUACCUAAUCAAGAAGCAACGGCUAACUACGUG